AUGCAAGUCGAGCGGGGGAAGGUAGCUUGCUACCGGACCUAGCGGCGGACGGGUGAGUAAUGCUUAGGAAUCUGCCUAUUAGUGGGGGACAACAUCUCGAAAGGGAUGCUAAUACCGCAUACGUCCUACGGGAGAAAGCAGGGGAUCUUCGGACCUUGCGCUAAUAGAUGAGCCUAAGUCGGAUUAGCUAGUUGGUGGGGUAAAGGCCUACCAAGGCGACGAUCUGUAGCGGGUCUGAGAGGAUGAUCCGCCACACUGGGACUGAGACACGGCCCAGACUCCUACGGGAGGCAGCGGUGGGGAAUAUCGGACAAUGGGGGGAACCCUGAUCCAGCCAUGCCGCGUGUGUGAAGAAGGCCUUAUGGUUGUAAAGCACUUUAAGCGAGGAGGAGGCUACUUUAGUUAAUACCUAGAGAUAGUGGACGUUACUCGCAGAAUAAGCACCGGCUAACUCUGUGCCAGCAGCCGCGGUAAUACAGAGGGUGCGAGCGUUAAUCGGAUUUACUGGGCGUAAAGCGUGCGUAGGCGGCUUAUUAAGUCGGAUGUGAAAUCCCCGAGCUUAACUUGGGAAUUGCAUUCGAUACUGGUGAGCUAGAGUAUGG
rnacentral:rRNA from 1 species